CCUACGGGAGGCAGCAGUGGGGAAUCUUGCGCAAUGGGCGAAAGCCUGACGCAGCCGUGCCGCGUGAAUGAUGAAGGUCUUAGGAUUGUAAAAUUCUUUCACCGGGGACGAUAAUGACGGUACCCGGAGAAGAAGCCCCGGCUAACUUCGUGCCAGCAGCCGCGGUAAU
rnacentral:rRNA from 1 species